rnacentral:rRNA from 1 species
GUCAAGCUACUAAGAGCACUAGAUGGAUGCCUUGGCAUUGACAGGCGAUGAAGGACGUGAUAAGCUGCGAUAAGCCGCGGGUAGCUGCAAACAAGCAUUGAUCCGCGGAUUUCCGAAUGGAGCAAUCCGGCAGGGGUAAUGCCCUGUCACCUGGAACUGAAUCCAUAGGUUUCAGGGGCGAUACUCAGGGAAGUGAAACAUCUCAGUACCUGAAGGAGAAGAAAUCAAUUGAGAUUCCGUAAGUAGUGGCGAACGAAAGCGGAAGAGGCUAAACCAGCCGGUUUACCGACUGGGGUUGCGGGACCCUGACAUGACGAGCGGGAGUUAGCCGAACGGUCUGGAAAGUCCGAUCAAAGAAGGUGAAAAUCCUGUAAGCGAAAACCGAAGCGAGUCUAGGGGAAUCCCAAGUAGGACGUCACACGUGAAACGACGCCUGAAUCCGGGGAGACCACUCUCCAAGCCUAAAUACUAGUCAAUGACCGAUAGUGAACAAGUACCGCGAGGGAAAGGUGAAAAAGGACCCUUAUGAAGGGAGUCAAAAGUACCUGAAAUCCAGUGCUUACAAAGUGUGGGAGCGCCGCAAGGUGUGACCGCAUGCCUUUUGCAUAAUGAGCUUGCGACUUACGUUCAGCAGCGAGGUUAAGCCAGUAGGCGAAGCCGAAGCGAAAGCGAGUGUGAACAGCGCGCUAAGUUGCUGGAAGUAGACCCGAAGCUGAGUGAUCUAUCCAUGUCCAGGUUGAAUCUUCGGUAACACGAAGUGGAGGACCGAACCGGUUCAUGUUGAAAAAUGUUCGGAUGAGGUGUGGAUAGGAGCGAAAGACCAAUCAAACUCAGUGAUAGCUGGUUCUCUUCGAAAUAUCUUGAGGGAUAGCCUUGUGCAUAACUACGUGCCGGGGGUAGAGCUCUGAUUGUUCGAGGGUCCUUUACCUGGAUACCAACAACUGUCAAACUCCAAAUACCGGACACGCCUAUCACAGGAGUCAGACUGCGGGGGAUAAGCUUCGUAGUCGAGAGGGCAACAGCCCAGAUCGCCGGCUAAGGUCCCUAAUUCAAGCUAAGUGGAUCGAAGGAUGUGGAGUUGCGUAAACAGUCAGGAUGUUGGCUCAGAGGCAGCCAUCAUUUAAAGAUCGCGUAAUAGCGCACUGAUCGAGUGAUUCCGCGCCGAAGAUAAUCGGGACUAAGCUUGAAACCGAAGCCGCGAAUAAUAUCUUUUGAUAUUAUGGUAGAAGAGCGUUGUAUGAGGGUCGAAGCCGAAUCGUAAGAUGAGGUGGACUUCAUACAAGUGACCAUGCAAGCAUGAGUAGCGAAAAACCGGAUGAGAAUUCCGGUCACCGAUAGACUAAGGUUUCCUGGGCCAGGUUCGUCCGCUCAGGGUUAGUCGGGCCUAAGGCGAGGCCGAAAGGCGUAGUCGAUGGACAACUGGUUAAUAUUCCAGUACCGCCUUGUUAUGUGAUGGAAUGACGCAGUAUGCUAUGUGCAGUUGGCUAUAUGCCAAUCCAAAGCCGUAGGGCGAGCAGGGUUAAAUGACUGCUCACACGCCUGAAAGCCGAUGCGCGGUGGAGUCUUCGGAUGAAGCCGUUGCGCAAAUGCUUUGCUGACGAGAAAAGUUCCUAAACUUAGUAACAGGGUGUCCGUACCGCAAACCGACACAGGUAGUCAAGGCGAGAAGCCUGAGGUGCGCGAGUGAAACCACUUUAAGGAACUCGGCAAAUUGACCCCGUAACUUCGGAAGAAGGGGUGCCUCGUAAGAGGUUGCAACAAAGAGGCCGCGGCGACUGUUUAACAAAAACACAGCACUCUGCCAACUCGCAAGAGGAUGUAUAGGGUGUGACACGUGACCAAUGCCCAAAGCUCAAAUGGAUCUGUUAGCGCAAGCGAAGCAGUGAUAUGAAGGCCGGGUGAAUGUCGGCCGUAACUAUAACGGUCCUAAGGUAGCGAAAUUCCUUGUCGGGCAAGUUCCGACCUGCACGAAUCGUGUAACGAUCGCGGCACUGUCUCGAAGUGGAGCUCGGCGAAUUUGUAAUUCCGGUGAAAAUGCCGGAUACCUGCAGUAGGACGGAAAGACCCUGUGAACCUUUACUGUAAUCUGAUAUUGGUAUUCGGGCAAUCAUGUGUAGCAUAGGUGGGAGACUUCGAAGCCGCGGCGCCAGCCCCGGUGGAGUCUUCAGUGAAAUACCACCCUUGGUUGUUUGAAUCUCUAACCUUCUCCCGUCUAUCCGGGUAAGGGACCGUGUCAGAGGGUCAGUUUGACUGGGGCGGUUUCCUCCAAAAUUGUAACGGAGGAGCACGAAGGUACAUUCAGCACGGUUGGCAAUCGUGCUUAGAGCGUAAGGGCAUAAAUGUGCUUGACUGCGAGACUUACAAGUCGAGCAGAUGCGAAAGCAGGUCCUAGUGAUCCAGCGAUGGAACGUGGAAUCGUCGUUGCUCAACGGACAAAAGGUACUCCGGGGAUAACAGGCUGAUAGCGCCCAAGCGUCCAUAGCGACGGCGCUGUUUGGCACCUCGAUGUCGGCUCAUCUCAUCCUGGGGCUGUAGAAGGUCCCAAGGGUCCGGCUGUUCGCCGGUUAAAGAGGUACGCGAGCUGGGUUCAAAACGUCGCAAGACAGUUUGGUCCUUAUCCACUGCGGGCGCAGGACAUUUGACAAGAUCAUUCCUUAGUACGAGAGGACCGGGAAUGACUGACCUCUGGUAUUCCAGUUGUCUCUAAAGAGGCAGCGCUGGGUAGCUACGUCGGGAAAGGAUAAGCGCUGAAAGCAUCUAAGCGCCAAGCCCCCUUGAAGAUAAGAUGUCCCUGGAUCUUUGAUCCCUGAAGACCACUUGAAGACCACAAGUUUGAUAGGAUGCGCGUGUAAGGGCAGCAAUGCCUUCAGCUUAGCAUUACUAACCGGUCGUGAGGCUUGACC